AGAGUUUGAUCCUGGCUCAGGACGAACGCUGGCGGCGUGCUUAACACAUGCAAGUCGAGCGGGGACAUUUCCGGAAGGGUUUCGGCCUGGAAGGGGAUGUUCCAGCGGCGGACGGGUGAGUAACGCGUGAACAAUCUGUCCCGGACAGGGGGAUAACAGAUGGAAACAUCUGCUAAUACCGCAUAAGACCACGACCCGGCAUCGGGUUGAGGUAAAAGGAGGAAUCCGGUUCGGGGUGAGUUCGCGUCCGAUUAGCUAGUUGGCGAGGUAACGGCCCACCAAGGCGACGAUCGGUAGCCGACCUGAGAGGGUGAUCGGCCACAUUGGAACUGAGAGACGGUCCAAACUCCUACGGGAGGCAGCAGUGGGGAAUAUUGGGCAAUGGGCGAAAGCCUGACCCAGCAACGCCGCGUGAGGGAAGAAGGUUUUCGGAUUGUAAACCUCUAUCGUGGACGACGAAGGAAGUGACGGUAGUCCACAAGGAAGCCCCGGCUAACUACGUGCC
rnacentral:rRNA from 1 species